rnacentral:rRNA from 1 species
CCUAAAGGCGCAAUGAAAGUAAAGGUUAUCCUUGCGAUAACUGAGGGAGGAUGAGUUGCAUUACGAUGUCAGCUCCGCACUCCCGGGGCGUCUCAUUCUUAUUUAUAAGAAGAGGCGCACCUAGAGCGUACACGUUGGGACCCGAAAGAUGGUGAACUAUGCCUGGUCAGGAUGAAGUCAGGGGAAACCCUGAUGGAGGUCCGUAGCGAUUCUGACGUGCAAAUCGAUCGUCGGAACUGGGUAUAGGGGCGAAAGACUAAUCGAACCAUCUAGUAGCUGGUUCCCUCCGAAGUUUCCCUCAGGAUAGCUGGCACUCAGUUGAAUAUAUUACGAGUCUCAUCUGGUAAAGCGAAUGAUUAGAGGCCUUGGGGUCGAAACGACCUCAACCUAUUCUCAAACUUUAAAUGGGUGAGAUCUCUGGCUUGCUUGAUUAUAUAUUUGAAGCCAUGAGAUUUCGGAUCAGAGUGCCAAGUGG